rnacentral:rRNA from 1 species
AGAGGAAGUNUUAGGUCGUAAGNAGGGACUCCCGUAGGGUGAACCCUGCGGAACGGAUCAUUA